UACGAAGGGGGCUAGCGUUGCUCGGAAUUACUGGGCGUAAAGGGCGCGUAGGCGGAUAGUUUAGUCAGAGGUGAAAGCCCAGGGCUCAACCUUGGAAUUGCCUUUGAUACUGGCUAUCUUGAGUUCGGGAGAGGUGAGUGGAAUGCCGAGUGUAGAGGUGAAAUUCGUAGAUAUUCGGCGGAACACCAGUGGCGAAGGCGACUCACUGGCCCGAUACUGACGCUGAGGCGCGAAAGCUAGGGGAGCGAACAGG
rnacentral:rRNA from 1 species